rnacentral:rRNA from 1 species
UACGUAGGGUGCGAGCGUUGUCCGGAAUUACUGGGCGUAAAGAGUUCGUAGGCGGUUUGUCGCGUCGUUUGUGAAAACCCGGGGCUCAACUUCGGGCUUGCAGGCGAUACGGGCAGACUUGAGUGUUUCAGGGGAGACUGGAAUUCCUGGUGGUAAGCGGUGAAAUGCGCAGAUAUCAGGAGGAACACCGGUGGCGAAGGCGGGUCUCUGGGCCGUAACUGACGCUGAGGAGCGGAAAGCAUGGGGAGCGAACAGG